CCUACGGGAGGCAGCAGUGGGGAAUAUUGCACAAUGGGGGGAACCCUGAUGCAGCGACGCCGCGUGAGUGAAGAAGUAUUUCGGUAUGUAAAGCUCUAUCAGCAGGGAAGAAAAUGACGGUCCCUGACUAAGAAGCCCCGGCUAACUACGUGCCAGCAGCCGCGGUAAUCCGUAGGGGGCAAGCGUUAUCCGGAUUUACUGGGUGUAAAGGGAGCGCAGACGGCUGUGCAAGUCUGGAGUGAAAGGCGGGGGCCCAACCCCCGGACUGCUCUGGAAACUGUAAAGCUGGAGUGCAGGAGAGGUAAGCGGAAUUCCUGGUGUAGCGGUGAAAUGCGUAGAUAUUAGGAGGAACACCAGUGGCGAAGGCGGCUUACUGGACUGCAACUGACGUUGAGGCUCGAAAGCGUGGGGAGCAAACAGGAUUAGAUACCCCAGUAGUC
rnacentral:rRNA from 1 species